GAGACCCGCACCUUUAGUUGCCAGCAAGAGGCUUCGGUCUCGAUGGGAACGCUAAAGGGACCGCCACCUUAUAGGUGGAGGAAGGAGCGAGCCACGGCAGGUCAGUAUGCCCCGAAUCCCCCGGGCCACACGCGGGCUGCAAUGGUAUGGACAGUGGGAUGCAACUCCGAAAGGAGAAGCUAAUCUCUAAACCAUAUCUCAGUUGGAAUUGUCGGCUGAAACUCGCCGACAUGAACGUGGAAUCCCUAGUAAUCGCGUGUCAUCAUCGCGCGGUGAAUAC
rnacentral:rRNA from 1 species